UGGCGGGGGAUGAUGGAAUUGAACCAUCUUCUUCGAUUUCAAAGACCGAGGUUUUAACCGUGUAAACUAAUCCCCU
rnacentral:tRNA from 1 species